AUAGGAGGAGGAGCUGGAGCCCAUCUUGACCUCCCUCUCCUCUCGUAUGCACCUGCAAAGAAUCUGGUUCAGACCCCUGUCUGCAAACCUGAAGAGCCCACAGCCGGAGUGUUUUCCAGAGGAGCAACUAAAGAAACAAGUGAGAAACGGUUUCUACACACACUGUAAAGCCACUUGUUUGUCCUCAAUCAAGACAAGAUGAGAUGGAAAAUCAAAUGAAGACACGACUGCAUGGCCGAUAUUAAUCGAAGACUGAUUCAAGAUGAAAGUGGAGUCCAAACACAACAUGACAAAAUCUACAAAAGAGUCACAUUAG